rnacentral:rRNA from 1 species
UACGUAGGGGGCAAGCGUUGUCCGGGUUUAUUGGGCGUAAAGAGCUCGUAGGUGGUUCGGUAAGUCGGAUGUGAAAUCUCCAGGCUCAACCUGGAGGGGUCAUUCGAUACUGCCGUGACUAGAGUUCGGUAGGGGAGUGUGGAAUUCCUGGUGGAGCGGUGAAAUGCGCAGAUAUCAGGAGGAACACCCGUAGCGAAGGCGGCACUCUGGGCCGAUACUGACACUGAGGAGCGAAAGCGUGGGGAGCGAACAGG